rnacentral:rRNA from 1 species
AUUGAACGCUGGCGGCAUGCUUUACACAUGCAAGUCGAACGGUAACAGGCCUUCGGGUGCUGACGAGUGGCGAACGGGUGAGUAAUGCAUCGGAACGUACCCAGAGGUGGGGGAUAUCGCAGCGAAAGCUGUGCUAAUACCGCAUGUGAUCUGAGGAUGAAAGCGGGGGACCGAGCAGCAAUGUUUGGCCUCGCGCCUUUGGAGCGGCCGAUGUCGGAUUAGCUAGUUGGUGGGGUAAAGGCCUACCAAGGCGACGAUCCGUAGCUGGUCUGAGAGGACGACCAGCCACACUGGGACUGAGACACGGCCCAGACUCCUACGGGAGGCAGCAGUGGGGAAUUUUGGACAAUGGGCGCAAGCCUGAUCCAGCAAUGCCGCGUGCGGGAAGAAGGCCUUCGGGUUGUAAACCGCUUUUGGCAGGAACGAAACGGUGUCCGCUAAUACCGGGCGCUAAUGACGGUACCUGCAGAAUAAGCACCGGCUAACUACGUG